GACCGACACUGGUAGACGGGUAGAGAAUACCAAGGUGAACGGGAAAACCUUCGUUAAGGAAUUAGGCAAGAUAGCCCCGUAACUUCGGGAGAAGGGGUGCCCCUGAGGGUGAGCGCAAGCGUAGCCCAUGGGGGUCGCAGUGACCAGGCUCUAGUGACUGGUUAACAAAACCACAGGUCUCUGCAAAGCCGAAAGGCGAUGUAUAGGGGCUGACGCCUGCCCAGUGCCGGAAGGUUAAGGGGAGAGGUUAGCGCAAGCGAAGCUUUGAACCGAAGCCCCGGUGAACGGCGGCCGUAACUAUAACGGUCCUAAGGUAGCGAAAUUCCUUGUCGGGUAAGUUCCGACCCGCACGAACGGCGUAACAACUAGAGCACUGUCUCAACGAAGGACCCGGCGAAAUUGAAAUGGCUGUGAAGAUGCGGCCUACCCGCAGCAGGACAAAAAGACCCCGUGGAGCUUUACUGCAAUUUGGCAUUGUGUUUGGGUAUAGUUUGUGUAGGAUAGGUGGGAGGCUAUGAAGCUGAAGCGCUAGCUUCGGUGGAGCCGACGGUGAAAUACCACCCUGACGAUACUUAGACCCUAACGUUCGACCUUUAUCAGGCAAGCGGACCGUGCCAGAUGGGCAGUUUGACUGGGGCGGUCGCCUCCUAAAAGGUAACGGAGGCGCCCAAAGGUUCCCUCAGGCUGAAUGGAAACCAGCCGCAGAGUGCAAAGGCAUAAGGGAGCUUGACUGCAAGACCAACGCGUCGAGCAGAGUCGAAAGACGGGCUUAGUGAUCCCACGGUACUGAGUGGAAGGGCCGUGGCUUACCGGAUAAAAGCUACCCCGGGGAUAACAGGCUGGUGAAGUCCAAGAGUUCACAUCGACGACUUCGCUCGGCACCUCGAUGUCGGCUCAUCGCAUCCUGGGGCUGUACAAAGUCCCAAGGGUCGGGCUGUUCGCCCGUUAAAGCGGUACGCGAGCUGGGUUCAGACCGUCGUGAGACAGGUCGGUCUCUAUCCGCUGUGGGCGUAAGGGAUUUGAGAGGAGCUGCCCCUAGUACGAGAGGACCGGGGUGGACAGACCGCUGGUGUGUCAGUUGUCGUGCCAACGGCAUUGCUGAGUAGCUACGUCUGGCAGAGAUAACCGCUGAAAGCAUCUAAGUGGGAAACUCGCCUCAAGAUGAGAUCCCUGUAAUCCCGUAAGGGAGUAAGGACGCAGGAAGACUACCUGCUUGAUAGGCGGCGUGUGUAAGCGCAGUAAUGUGCUCAGCU
rnacentral:rRNA from 1 species